GACGAACGCUGGCGGCGUGCCUAAUACAUGCCAGUCGAGCGAAGUUUUUCUGGUGCUUGCUCUAGAAAAACUUAGCGGCGCACGGGUGAGUAACACGUAAAGAACCUGCCUCAUAGACUGGGACAACUAUUGGAAACGAUAGCUAAUACCGGAUAACAGUAUUUCUCGCAUGAGAGAUAUUUAAAAGUUGGUUAUGCUAACACUAUGAGAUGGCUUUGCGGUGCAUUAGCUAGUUGGCGGGGUAAAGGCCCACCAAGGCGACGAUGCAUAGCCGACCUGAGAGGGUGAUCGGCCACACUGGGACUGAGACACGGCCCAGACUCCUACGGGAGGCAGCAGUAGGGAAUCUUCCGCAAUGGGCGAAAGCCUGACGGAGCAACGCCGCGUGAGUGAAGAAGGAUUUCGGUUCGUAAAGCUCUGUUGUUAGGGAAGAAUGGAUAUGUAGUAACUAUACAUGUAAGAGACGGUACCUAACCAGAAAGCCACGGCUAACUACGUG
rnacentral:rRNA from 1 species